GACGAACGCUGGCGGCGUGCUUAACACAUGCAAGUCGAACGUGAUUUUUGUGGAAAUUCUUUCGGGAAUGGAAAUGAAAUGAAAGUGGCGAACGGGUGAGUAACACGUGAGCAACCUACCUUACACAGGGGGAUAGCCGUUGGAAACGACGAUUAAUACCGCAUGAGACCACAGAGUCGCAUGAUAUAGGGGUCAAAGAUUUAUCGGUGUAAGAAGGGCUCGCGUCUGAUUAGCUAGUUGGAAGGGUAAAGGCCUACCAAGGCGACGAUCAGUAGCCGGUCUGAGAGGAUGAACGGCCACAUUGGAACUGAGACACGGUCCAAACUCCUACGGGAGGCAGCAGUGGGGAAUAUUGCACAAUGGGGGGAACCCUGAUGCAGCGACGCCGCGUGAGCGAAGAAGGUUUUCGAAUCGUAAAGCUCUGUCCUAUGAGAAGAUAAUGACGGUAUCAUAGGAGGAAGCCCCGGCUAAAUACGUG
rnacentral:rRNA from 1 species